rnacentral:rRNA from 1 species
GAUGAACGCUGGCGGCGUGCCUAAUACAUGCAAGUCGAGCGAACAGACGAGGAGCUUGCUCCUCUGACGUUAGCGGCGGACGGGUGAGUAACACGUGGAUAACCUACCUAUAAGACUGGGAUAACUUCGGGAAACCGGAGCUAAUACCGGAUAAUAUAUUGAACCGCAUGGUUCAAUAGUGAAAGACGGUUUUGCUGUCACUUAUAGAUGGAUCCGCGCCGCAUUAGCUAGUUGGUAAGGUAACGGCUUACCAAGGCGACGAUGCGUAGCCGACCUGAGAGGGUGAUCGGCCACACUGGAACUGAGACACGGUCCAGACUCCUACGGGAGGCAGCAGUAGGGAAUCUUCCGCAAUGGGCGAAAGCCUGACGGAGCAACGCCGCGUGAGUGAUGAAGGUCUUCGGAUCGUAAAACGCUGUUAUUAGGGAAGAACAAAUGUGUAAGUAACGAUGCACGUCUUGACGGUACCUAAGCAGAAAGCCACGGCUAACUACGG